CUUCGGUACAUCGGUGACAGGUGGUGCAUGGUUGUCGUCAGCUCGUGUCGUGAGAUGUUGGGUUAAGUCCCGCAACGAGCGCAACCCCUAUUUGUUAGUUGCCAUCAUUCAGUUGGGCACUCUAGCGAGACUGCCGGUAAUAAACCGGAGGAAGUGGGGAUGACGUCAAAUCAUCAUGCCCCUUAUGACCUGGGCUACACACGUGCUACAAUGGUUGGUACAACGAGUUGCGAGUCGGUGACGGCGAGCUAAUCUCUUAAAGCCAAUCUCAGUUCGGAUUGUAGGCUGCAACUCGCCUACAUGAAGUCGGAAUCGCUAGUAAUCGCGGAUCAGCACGCCGCGGUGAAUACGUUCCCGGGCCUU
rnacentral:rRNA from 1 species